rnacentral:rRNA from 1 species
GAUGAACGCUAGCGGCAGGCUUAACACAUGCAAGUCGAGGGGCAGCGGGAGUAGCAAUACUUGCCGGCGACCGGCGCAAGGGUGCGUAACGCGUGAGCAACAUGCCCGUAUCAGGGGGAUAAUCCAGGGAAACUUGGUCUAAUACCGCAUAGUAAUUUUGAUUGGCAUCAAUUAAGAUUUAAAAAUACGUUGGAUACGGAUUGGCUCGCGUGACAUUAGCUAGAUGGUGAGGUAACGGCUCACCAUGGCUACGAUGUCUAGGGGUUCUGAGAGGAAGGUCCCCCACACUGGUACUGAGACACGGACCAGACUCCUACGGGAGGCAG